AAUGAACGCUGGCGGCAUGGAUUAGGCAUGCAAGUCGAACGGGCCGCCUUUCGCAAGAGAGGCGGUCAGUGGCGAAAGGGUGCGUAACACGUGAGUAACCUGCCCCCGAGUCCGGGACAGCCCGCGGAAACGCGGAUUAAUACCGGAUGUGGUACCUGACUGCAUAGUCGGGCCACUGAAGAUUUAUCGCUCGGGGAUGGGCUCGCGGCCCAUAAGCUUGUUGGUGGGGUAACGGCCCACCAAGGCUAUGACGGGUAGGUGGUCUGAGAGGAUGGUCACCCACACUGGGACUGAGACACUGCCCAGACUCCUACGGGAGGCUG
rnacentral:rRNA from 1 species